rnacentral:rRNA from 1 species
UACGGAGGGGACUAGCGUUGUUCGGAAUUACUGGGCGUAAAGCGCACGUAGGCGGAUUUGUAAGUCAGGGGUGAAAUCCCGGGGCUCAACCCCGGAACUGCCUUUGAUACUGAGGAUCUCGAGUCCGGGAGAGGUGAGUGGAACUCCGAGUGUAGAGGUGAAAUUCGUAGAUAUUCGGAAGAACACCAGUGGCGAAGGCGGCUCACUGGCCCGGUACUGACGCUGAGGUGCGAAAGCGUGGGGAGCAAACAGG